GCGACCAGGAGGCUUGUAAGGAGGGUCGACGGGGUCUGGGAGACAGGAGUUUGGGGACGACCUCAGAUUCCGAGAGCCUCGGGGGUGGUGGCGGGCAGAGUAAUCACAGUGUAAUCACUGUGUCCUGAGCAGCUACUAGAACUCAGGCUUACAAACCUGCCUCUCCAACCUGGACAGCUGGAACAUUCCGUUCUCAAGAUUCCUGACUCAUCUUCCCUCUUCCACAUGGAACCAUCUAAGAGCACAGAAAAAUUAGUCACUUCCCUGGCUAAUAUCCUCUAACAACUGAUUCCCAAGCACUCAGAAUAUGGUCUGACCCUGCCUACCUGUUCCUUUCACAUGGCCACACAACCAAACUGGUGCCUCUAGGCUUUCUUCAUGUCCUCUCAAGUAAACUCUCCCACCUGUCCCA